AUAACAAUAGUCAAAGCAAGCCCGAUCAACACAUUUGAUGCCAACCUCUCUACCGUAAAUGAAACAAAUUAUUACCAAGACUUUUUAGUUUGCUAGUUUAUGUUUGCCCAAGUCCUCAAAUCCUAGGAUAUUUCUGAAGAAAAAUAUCUUCUCUUUUGUCAGUCAUCAUAAAGUAGCAAAAUCAGGGAAUCUUACUUGUAUAACAUCACAUCUUCUUCUUUGAUGUAUAAAAGGAACUUCAAUAAAAAUUUAAAUAAAAAAAAGUCACUCACUGUACUUUAUCUUCCACCAAACUGCUAAUAUAGUAUUCAUCUAGAAAUCACAUGUUAUUUAAUCCUGAGAAAACUACGUAUCAACAACCAGUUCUGGUUACUGAAUCAACUCGUCUUCUAUCUGCAAUCUAACUUGACAUAACCUGCCAUUUCUUUUAUUACAAAAGACAAAAACAAUAUAUAAAAUUACAUACCUAAGUAGAUUGCUAGAGGUAUUUAUAGUUUAAGCAAAACUCUUCCUCAUAUAUGUGCUAAAAGAUAUCAGUAUUUAGUUACUACAAAACAAACACAGCCGGUAAUAUUUACAUUGGUCUGGAAAAUUAUUAGAAGAUUGAGAGGCAAAAGACUAUUAAAAGAUGGAGGCAAAAAAAAUUGACGGUGAAGGACAACAACAAAUUCGAAUGCGCUUAGAAUAAUGAACAGAUAUGAAACUUAAGGAAAUUUAAAAAAUAAAAUCAUACAAAUACUAAAUUCAAUUUUAAGAAUAAAACCAAUUUAGAGUAUAUACCAACAAAAACGAGAGACAUAGAGAUCUUAC
rnacentral:lncRNA from 1 species